rnacentral:misc_RNA from 1 species
AGAACAACAACAACAAAUGGGAAGACGGAGUGAGCUAGCUGAAGUGUGAGGGUAAACCAGCGACCCAAUAGGGCAAAGAGUGAUGCCAACAAUGAGAUAGGAGGGGGAUGAUACUCAGAUGACAAAACAUAGAGAGAGUAGGGAGAGAAAGGAAGGAAAAGGAAGAGAAAAAAGAGUCAACCUAUUUCCAUCCAAACCAUGAUUACAAAAGGUAAACCAACACCACCAUCAACCUCAUCUCAUUCUCUGGAGGUGAUCAACGCUGACCAUUUCUUGUUUGGCGUUUAUAAUCUGU